rnacentral:rRNA from 1 species
GACGAACGCUGGCGGCAUGCCUAACACAUGCAAGUCGAACGGGAACUCCGGGCCUAGGGGCGCACGGGUGCGUAACGCGUGGUAAGCUGCCCUUGGGUACGGAAUCACUCACCGAAAGGGGAGCUAAGACCGGAUAAUGUCUUCGGACCAAGGAUUUAUCGCCGUUGGAUGGGCCCGGGUUGGAUUAGCUAGUUGGUAGGGUAAAAGCCUACCAAGGCGUCGUUCCAUAGCUGGUCUGAGAGGAUGCUCAGCCACACUGGGACUGAGACACGGCCCAGACUCCUACGCGAGGGAGGAGAGUGGAAUAUUGGACAAUGGGCGCUAGUCUGAUCCAGCAAUGCCGCGUGAGUGAUGAAGGCCGUAGGGUUGUAAAGCCCUUUUACCCGGGAUGAUAAUGACAGUACCGGGAGAAUAAGCUCCGGCUAACUCCGUG